GAUGAACGCUGGCGGCGUGCCUAAUACAUGCAAGUCGAGCGGUAAGGCUCCUUCGGGAGUACACGAGCGGCGGACGGCUGAGUAACGCGUAGGAACGUACCCCAAAGUGAGGGAUAAGCACCAGAAAUGGUGUCUAAUACCGCAUGUGAUCUAAGGAUGAAAGCCUUCGGGCGCUUUGGGAACGGCCUGCGUAUGAUUAGCUUGUUGGUGAGGUAAUGGCUCACCAAGGCGACGAUCAUUAGCUGGUCUGAGAGGAUGAUCAGCCAGACUGGGACUG
rnacentral:rRNA from 1 species